GCGGCCUAUCAGCUUGUUGGUGGGGUGAUGGCCUACCAAGGCGACGACGGGUAGCCGGCNUGAGAGGGCGACCGGCCACACUGGGACUGAGACACGGCCCAGACUCNUACGGGAGGCAGCAGUGGGGAAUAUUGCGCAAUGGGCGGAAGCCUGACGCAGCGACGCCGCGUGAGGGAUGACGGCCUUCGGGUUGUAAACCUCUUUCAGCUCUGACGAAGCGAGAGUGACGGUAGGAGCAGAAGAAGCACCGGCCAACUACGUGCCAGCAGCCGCGGUAAUACGUAGGGUGCAAGCGUUGUCCGGAAUUAUUGGGCGUAAAGAGCUCGUAGGCGGUUUGUCGCGUCGAAUGUGAAAACCCGGGGCUCAACCCCGGGCCUGCAUUCGAUACGGGCAGACUAGAGUCCGGUAGGGGAGACUGGAAUUCCU
rnacentral:rRNA from 1 species